rnacentral:rRNA from 1 species
UGGCGGCAGGCCUAACACAUGCAAGUCGAGCGGUAGCACAAGGGAGCUUGCUCCCUGGGUGACGAGCGGCGGACGGGUGAGUAAUGUCUGGGGAUCUGCCUGAUGGAGGGGGAUAACUACUGGAAACGGUAGCUAAUACCGCAUAACGUCGCAAGACCAAAGUGGGGGACCUUAGGGCCUCAUGCCAUCGGAUGAACCCAGAUGGGAUUAGCUAGUAGGUGGGGUAAUGGCUCACCUAGGCGACGAUCCCUAGCUGGUCUGAGAUGAUGACCAGCCACACUGGAACUGAGACACGGUCCAGACUCCUACGGGAGGCAGCAGUGGGGAAUAUUGCACAAUGGGCGCAAGCCUGAUGCAGCCAUGCCGCGUGUGUGAAGAAGGCCUUAGGGUUGUAAAGCACUUUCAGCGAGGAGGAAGGAUGAAGUGUUAAUAGCACUUGAUAUAAAACUCAAAUGAAUUGAACGGGGGCCCGCACAAGCGGUGGAGCAUGUGGUUUAAUUCGAUGCAACGCGAAGAACCUUACCUACUCUUGACAUCCAGAGAAUUAGCCAGAGAUGGCUGAGUGCCUUCGGGAGCUCUGAGACAGGUGCUGCAUGGCUGUCGUCAGCUCGUGUUGUGAAAUGUUGGGUUAAGUCCCGCAACGAGCGCAACCCUUAUCCUUUGUUGCCAGCGAUUCGGUCGGGAACUCAAAGGAGACUGCCGGUGAUAAACCGGAGGAAGGUGGGGAUGACGUCAAGUCAUCGUGGCCCUUAMGAGUGGGGCUACACACGUGCUACAAUGGCGUAUACAAAGAGAAGCGAGCCUGCGAGGGGAAGCGGACCUCAUAAAGUACGUCGUAGUCCGGAUUGGAGUCUGCAACUCGACUCCAUGAAGUCGGAAUCGCUAGUAAUCGUAGAUCAGAAUGCUACGGUGAAUACGUUCCCGGGCCUUGUACACACCGCCCGUCACACCAUGGGAGUGGGUUGCAAAAGAAGUAGGUAGCUUAACCUUACGGGAGGGCGCU